rnacentral:rRNA from 1 species
GACGAACGCUGGCGGCGUGCUUAACACAUGCAAGUCGAACGGAAAGGCCCUGCUUUUGUGGGGUGCUCGAGUGGCGAACGGGUGAGUAACAAGUGAGUAACCUGCCCUUGACUUUGGGAUAACUUCAGGAAACUGGGGCUAAUAACGGAUAGGAGCUCCUGCUGCAUGGUGGGGGUUGGAAAGUUUCGGCGGUUGGGGAUGGACUCGCGGCUUAUCAGCUUGUUGGUGGGGUAGUGGCUUACCAAGGCUUUGACGGGUAGCCGGCCUGAGAGGGUGACCGGCCACAUUGGGACUGAGAUACGGCCCAGACUCCUACGGGAGGCAGCAGUGGGGAAUAUUGCACAAUGGGCGGAAGCCUGAUGCAGCAACGCCGCGUGCGGGAUGACGGCCUUCGGGUUGUAAACCGCUUUCGCCUGUGACGAAGCGUGAGUGACGGUAAUGGGUAAAGAAGCACCGGCUAACUACGUG